rnacentral:lncRNA from 10 species
UAGGAAACCAGUUCCAAGGGACUCAGCUAAGCCACUCAGAGAAAAAAAGACCUGAGCUUUAUUCGGAGAGGAAAAAAAAAAAAAAUGUGUGGUCCCUGGACUGGAAGCUUCAGAAUCAUCUGGAAAUGUGCUAGAAAUGCAGGCUCCCAGGCCUCCCCUACCACUCCUUUACAAGUACACAAGGUCACUGGAUAGAUGGUCCCUUUGGAUCACGUGCUCAUCCCUGGCCCAGUCAGCUGUGAUCAGAGGAGCAAGACCGUGAGAUAAGGCUUGAAACCUAAGGAAUUUCAAAGAGGGGGCCAUGAUGGGCAUUCAGCGGCAUCUCAGGAGGGGGCAGAGUAACCAGCAGGUGCUUUGCAUGCUGGUCUGGUGUGUCUGGAAAAGGCAUCCCGCUAAAACGUUUGUCAGGAAACUUCUCAUCAGCAUUUCCAGCAUGCAGGAGCAACCAAGAGAGCCACUUAGAUACCAUUUGAUUAUAAUGUGUUUCUCAGAGAAAUAAAUAGCCCAAAUGGAAGCACACUUCUGAUUGUCAAUUUUUUACAAACACCCUGGAACUCAAUGACAGUUCUCGAGGAUCGAUAUGGUCUGGUGACAGUGAAUUGAUUGUUCCAGCAGAGAUCUUUAAUGAGAUUGUUCACACUAUUCAGGCACCACCAUCUCCAGCAGAUUACAAUGACAAUGGCGGGGCCUUGUGAAUAUAGAAAGCAAAGCAGCCUUCCUGCUCAUUUCUUUUUGAAAGCACUAACCCCUAGCAGCAAGGCCUUCUUGUUAAUUAGUUGUUAAUUAUUGGGACAACUCGUGAAAUGUUUAUUAAAGAGCUGGUCCAGUGGCAAAGAAAAGAACCCAGGGCAAGAGACAGAAUUGAAGGGUAAUAAAAGGAACGAAUACGCUUUUACACAGUUCACUGGCACCAAGGAAAUUCUAGCAACUCACUCUUCUGGUGCAAGAGGAGAGAUUGGGAAACCCAGGUAACAGUGCAUAGAUGAAUUGCCUAAGGUUCUGCUUCUAGUUGGUGUCCUGCGAAUCAGUUCAGCCCAGAGAACUCAUCACUACCAGGCCCAGUUGAAGAGUCUUGCUCCGUUGCUCAGGCUGGCGCGAUCUCGGCUCACUGCAAGCUCCGCCUCCCGGGUUCGCACCACUCUCCUGCCUCAGCCUCCCGAGCAGCUGGGGCUACAGGCGCCGCCACCACGCCCGGCUAAUUUUUUGUAUUUUUAGUAGAGACGGGGUUUCACCGUGUUAGCCAGGAUGGUCUGGAUCUCCUGACCUCGUGAUCCGCCCACCUCGAUCCUCUUAAAUUUUAAGUCCAAACAUGUCACGUUUUUGCUCAAAACCCUCCAAUGGUUUCCCAAAUCAUUCAGCACAAAAACCAAAGUCCCUCUAAUUACUUAUAAUACUCUCCCCCAACCUACCAUCCCUAACCUCAUCACUAAUACUCUUAUACUUAAUCAUCUGCUACAGCCUACAAUUUCCUCUGCUGUUCCUCAAACAUCCCAAAGAUUUUGUCACCUGAAGGUCUUUGCAUGUUCUGCCUCCUCGUCCUGGAAAGCUUUUCCCCAAAUACCAUUUUGUCUCUGCCUUCAGAUUUUUGAUCAAAUGUCACCUUGCUCCCAAAGUUUUCUCUGGCCAUGCUAUUUAAAGUACAAUGCUCUGCUCCACUCCUUGCAAUCUCAAUGCCUCUGUCCUGCUUUAGUUUUCCUUUGUAGCUGUUAUCAUCAACUGACAUAGAGAUUGCUUAUGUAUUUUGUCGUUUUCUGUCUCCUCACAUUAGGAACUAGGGUUCGUGAGAGUGGGGGUUUUGUAGGCUUUGGAAAUUAGUAUUUCUUUAGCAACAAGAACAGUGUAUAUGGCAGACACUCAAUAAAUCCUUGCUUUAAAAAGUAACAGUGUAUCAUGAUAAAAAUACAUAGGCACAUGAAUGAAAUAUAAAUACAAUGGUAUCCAUCUCCAAUAUGUUCUCCAAUGAUCUUUACCUGCUGCUAAAGAAUUAGUGUAGUCCUCCUCUCCAUUGUAUCAGGGUUAAUCUGUGUAACCAAUAGAUUAUGUAAUGUUGUGUGACCUCUGAGACUAGAUUGUAAAAAAUAGUACAGUUUCUAUUUUGUUCUCUUGGAUCACUGACUCUGAGGGAAGCCAGUGACAAUGGGGACACUCAGCAGCCCUGUGGAGUGGGUCAUGUGGCAUGUAAUUAAGACUUCCAUCCAGCCAAU